CGUCAGGCGUUAACGGCGAUCUACUCCACCAUGCCGAAGGAUGUGCUGCAACACCUCGUCGGAAAGAACUCGGCGAAGGAGGCAUGGGAGACCAUCAAGAUCCUACACCAGGGUCAUGACCGUGUCAAGGAAGCACACCUUCAAUCCCUGAUGAGAAGCUACGACUGCCUGAAGAUGGACGAAAGUGAGACGGUUGAUAAGUUUGCCGCCCGUCUCAAGACCCUCGUCAACGGCAUACGCAGCUAUGGUUCAACCCUAGAAGAAGUUGCGAUCGUCCGACGAUUUUUGCGCGCUGCACCGGCACGCUAUAUCCAGAUCGUCACGUCGAUCGAGCAAUGUCUCGACCUGAAAACCCUCAUGGUUGAGGAUCUCGUCGGAAGGUUCAAGGCCCACGACGAGAGAAUUCGUCUCAGUUUCGGCGACUCGGAGGAGAGUGAGCACCUAAUG
rnacentral:rRNA from 1 species